CUUUUCAUGGCUUAGUGGUAUAACUCUCACCUUCCAUGCGGGAGACCCAGGUUCAACUCCUGGUUAACACA
rnacentral:tRNA from 1 species